rnacentral:rRNA from 1 species
AACGAACGCUGGCGGCGUGGAUAAGACAUGCAAGUCGAACGGGAUAUCCGGUGUAGCAAUACAUUGGAUGUCCAGUGGCGCAAGGGUGCGUAACACGUGGGUAAUUUGCCGCGAAGUUGGGGAUAAUUCCGGGAAACCGGAACUAAUACCGAAUGUGGAUAUUGGGAGGCAUCUUCUGAUAUCUGAAGGUGGGGACCGCAAGGCCUGCCGCUUCGCGAUAAGCCCGCGGCCAUCAGCUAGUUGGUGAGGUAACGGCUCACCAAGGCUAAGACGGGUAGCUGGUCUGAGAGGACGACCAGCCACACUGGAACUGAGACACGGUCCAGACACCUACGGUGGCAGCAGUCGAGAAUUUUUCUCAAUGGGCGAAAGCCUGAAGGAGCGACGCCGCGUGGGGGAUGAAGGGUUUCGAUCCGUAAACCCCUGUCAUUGAGAAC